ACCACACCCCCAUAUUUCCCUUUCCUCUUCCUCUUCUUCUUUGUUCCCCUCUGUAUCUUCUCUUUUCUUUCCUAAACCAGCUUAUCUUAUUCAAACCACAGACAUCUCUGCCUUUCCAGUUUUCCUCAAACAACUUAUCUCAUUCAAAAUUCAAAUUCAUUAUUUCCCCAAAACAGAUCUCCAAAACAAAUUCCAAAACCCAAAGAGAGAAGAGAUGAAAGUUGAAGGGAUUCAGGCGAUUUGGUUUUAAUCUACUCAUUCGGAUCCGAUUUGGUGCCUUCACUCGAUUAGCAAUCAUCGGCGUUUCACUGUAUCUGGUGAAAGUGUAAGAGUGAAAUCAAAUCAGAGAUGGAUAGGGUUUCCAUUAGUGAUCUCCCGUUGGAUGUUCCUUCAAGAACAGGUUUGUAUGUCUCAUCUACGAUCAGAUCUGCAUCAACAGUAGGCGUUUUCGGUAGAGAUGAAAUUCCAGCACUGAUCACGAUUACCUGUGCCUGAUUUGGUGGGGUUAAACCCAUACUGCAGCGUCAUAUCAGAUUCCGGUCAGGCUAGGGUUCCAGUGAGUACUUAGUGCCUCACGACUACUCUGGCUACGACCUUGGUUUUCCGGCGACUAGCGGUUUAAUUCCGGUGAAUAGAUACCAAACCAAAAAGGCUUGAUAACAAAACCAGUGAUGAAGAGCAGUCAGACUAACCAUAGAUUGAAACAGCCAAUGUGAACAGAGCAACUCUAAAGUGGAUGUUAAAAGGAUUAAUAGGUAAGAUUUUUGUCAAGAGAUUCUUAAAUUAAAUGAAAGGUUAGUAAAAGCUACUUCAAUAUAAUUGACUAUGAUUUCAUGAUGGUUUUAAUUCAAGAAUCUGCGAAGCGCUCAAGAAGGAACUAAGUAAGUCAAAAUGCUAUAAGUAACUAACUGCUCUUGCUGAAUUUUUGUCUUGGCUGGAGGAGGAAAUAAACAAAGACAUGCCUGUCACAGAGGUAGAAGUUGCAGACGAACUUCAUGAGCUUUGCACAAGUCUAGCUGGUUGUUAAGAGAAAAAAAUGAACUAAAAUUCAUUUUUUAUGGUAUUUGGAUCCAUGUUCUUUAAAGAUGAUUGAAAUGUUUAAUGGAUUUUUGGCAACAAGAAAAUAA